rfam:Nesterenkonia sp. AN1 contig-3, whole genome shotgun sequence.
GGAGCGCUGUCCGAGCGGCCGAAGGAGCUGGUCUUGAAAACCAGUGUGCGGCAACCCCGCACCGUGGGUUCGAAUCCCACGCGCUCCG